rnacentral:rRNA from 1 species
GAUGAACGCUGGCGGCGUGCCUAAUACAUGCAAGUCGAGCGAACAGAUAAGGAGCUUGCUCCUUUGACGUUAGCGGCGGACGGGUGAGUAACACGUGGGUAACCUACCUAUAAGACUGGGAUAACUUCGGGAAACCGGAGCUAAUACCGGAUAACAUUUGGAACCGCAUGGUUCUAAAGUGAAAGAUGGUUUUGCUAUCACUUAUAGAUGGAACCGCGCCGUAUUAGCUAGUUGGUAAGGUAACGGCUUACCAAGGCAACGAUACGUAGCCGACCUGAGAGGGUGAUCGGCCACACUGGAACUGAGACACGGUCCAGACUCCUACGGGAGGCAGCAGUAGGGAAUCUUCCGCAAUGGGCGAAAGCCUGACGGAGCAACGCCGCGUGAGUGAUGAAGGGUUUCGGCUCGUAAAACUCUGUUAUUAGGGAAGAACAAACGUGUAAGUAACUGUGCACGUCUUGACGGUACCUAAUCAGAAAGCCACGGCUAACUACGUG